ACAGCCCAGAUCACCAUUUAAGGCCCCUAAAUAUUUACUAAGUGAUAAAGGAUGUAAUAUUACAUAGACAACCAGGAGGUUUGCUUAGAAGCAGCCAUUCCUUUAAAAAGUGCGUAAUAGCAUACUGGUCAAGUGAUUUUGCGCCGAAAAUGAACGGGACUAAGUAAUUUGCCGAAGAUGUGAGAAUUUAUCAGUAGAAGAGCGUUCUGUUUUGUUUGAAGCAAUAGCUAAAGCAGUUGUGGACUAGACAGAAGUGAGAAUGUCGGCUUAAGUAACGAAAACAUUGGUGGAAAUCCAAUGCCCCGUAAAUCUAAGGUUUCCUUCGCCAGGUUCGUCCACGAAGGGUUAGUCAGGUCCUAAAAUGAGGUUUAACAACGUAAUUGAUGGAUAACAGGUUAAUACUCCUGUACCAUUUUUCAUUUUAUUAAGAGUGACGAAAAAGGCUAAGUUAGCCAAACAUUGGUUUUUGGUUUAAUGUUUUAAUGUGUUGAUGAAUGUUAUCAAAAAACAUUUUGAGCAAAAAAAUAAAAUACGAGAGAUACUACGGUAUUGCAAGUAACUAAUGUCAAGUUUCCUAGAAAAACUUUUGUAGUAUUAAAUGAAUUAUGCCUGUACCGUAAACUGACACAGGUAGAUUAGUAGAGAAUACUAAGGGGCGCGAGAUAACUGUUUCUAAGGAACUCGGCAAAAUGACUCCGUAACUUAGGAAGAAGGAGUGCCUCAUUUAUGAGGUCGCAGUGAGCAGGCCCAAGCGACUGUUUACCAAAAACACAGGUCUCCGCUAAGUUGAAAAACGAUGUAUGGGGGCUGACGCCUGCCCAGUGCCGGAAGGUUAAAGAAGUUGGUUAGCGUAAGCAAAGCUGGUGACUGAAGCCCUGGUGAACGGCGGCCGUAACUAUAACGGUCCUAAGGUAGCGAAAUUCCUUGUCGGGUAAGUUCCGACCCGCACGAAAGGCGUAACGAUUUGGGCGCUGUCUCGGAAACAGACUCGGUGAAAUAGAAUUGACUGUGAAGAUGCGGUCUACUUGCACUUGGACAGAAAGACCCUAUGAAGCUUUACUGUAACUUGAAAUUGAUUUUGGGCUUUUUUUGCGCAGCAUAGGUGGGAGGCUAUGAAUCUCUUUUUCGGAAGUUGACGAGCCAUAAUAUGAGAUACCACUCUAAAAAAGUUAGAAAUCUAAUGAUAUUAUUAUGAUAUUUGACAGUUUCAGGCGGGCAGUUUUACUGGGGCGGUAGCCUCCUAAAAAGUAACGGAGGCGUACAAAGGUUUUCUCAGUCUGGACGGAAAUUAGUUGUAGAGUGUAAAGAUAUAAGAAAGCUUGACUGUGAGACCUAUAAGUCGAGCAGAGACUAAAGUCGGUCUUAGUGACCCGACGGUUCUGAAUGGAAAGGCCGUCGUUCAACAGAUAAAAGUUACGUAUGACCAGCCCUAAAUAGGGAAUAAUUAUGCGAUCUGAAAAUGAGCAUGAUAUAAAAUCAAAUAUAAAAGAUGCUGUGAUGCAUUUUGUUAAAACCGAACUAAAGCAUAGAAAGAUCUGAUACCUGUUGGUAUACUGAUUGCCGGCUCUUAAUUAUGAUGGAAAGUAACUAAGGGUUAAGUAGGCCUAAAAGUCUAGCAGGAUGGAAAGAUAUUCAAGUCCUGGGGCGAGCUUAUUUCAUGCAGGCCUACAGAUGCUCCCCGAGCUAUAAGGAACCGUCGCAUAAAAUAUCAUAAUUAUCUGUCAGGGUAUCUAUAUCGAAUAAACCCUCGUAACCGGAAAAUCGGUACACUUCAGUUUGGAUAACAGAUGGUAACACCUGUUUGGUAUACACCAAGAAGUUGGUAUAAAGACGGAGACCUGCAUGAACUAUCUAUACAAUGGUUAUAGAUAAGUAUUUAUAUUUGGAACUGGGUCACCUUUUAUUAACCACCAUACGAAAAUGUAUGGAGCUCCAAAUGUGUUAAGAAGGGGAAAGGAUGGGACACCAAGCAAAAGCCUAGACUGAAAUAACAGUCAAUGCAUGAAAAGUGAUGGAGUAACUUCCGGGAUAAGCCUAAUUGGCCCGAAACCUAAACUAAUCAUUCCUAUAUCGAUGAUUAGUAAUCAUGCUGUCUAAAUGAAAUUAAUCUCAUUAGCAACAUCUUAGGUUUAGUAGCCGGAUGCAUAGUAAUAUGCACGUCCGGUUUCGGAGGAGAAGUCGAAUUUCGAAUACAUAAGUAUUUCGGCUCACUCUCUAACUCUAGGGAUAACAGGCUGAUCUCCCCCAAGAGUUCACAUCGACGGGGAGGUUUGGCACCUCGAUGUCGGCUCAUCGCAACCUGGGGCGGUAGUACGUCCCAAGGGUUAGGCUGUUCGCCUAUUAAAGCGGUACGUGAGCUGGGUUCAGAACGUCGAGAGACAGUUCGGUCCAUAUCCGGUGUAAGCGUUAGAGUAUUGAAAGGAUCUUUCCUUAGUACGAGAGGACCGGGAAGGACACACCACUGAUGUGCCAGUUUUUGUGCCAACAGAAUACGCUGGGUAGUCAAGUGAGGA
rnacentral:rRNA from 1 species